GACAGAGGCCUCGAGCGUUAGGCGGAAUCACUGGGCUUAAAGCGUGUGUAGGCGGGCCCGUCAGUACCUUGUGAAAUCCCACGGCUCAACCGUGGAACCGCUGGGUAUACUGCGGGUCUGGGCCGACUAGGGGCAGCCGGAACAAGCGGUGGAGCGGUGAAAUGCGUAGAUAUCGCUUGGAACGCCGAAGGUGAAAACAGGCUGCUGGGG
rnacentral:rRNA from 1 species